rnacentral:rRNA from 1 species
AUUGAACGCUGGCGGCAGGCUUAACACAUGCAAGUCGAGCGGAGAUGAGGUGCCUGCACCUUAUCUUAGCGGCGGACGGGUGAGUAAUGCUUAGGAAUCUGCCUAUUAGUGGGGGACAACAUUCCGAAAGGAAUGCUAAUACCGCAUACGUCCUACGGGAGAAAGCAGGGGAUCUUCGGACCUUGCGCUAAUAGAUGAGCCUAAGUCGGAUUAGCUAGUUGGUGGGGUAAAGGCCUACCAAGGCGACGAUCUGUAGCGGGUCUGAGAGGAUGAUCCGCCACACUGGGGCUGAGACACGGCCCAGACUCCUACGGGAGGCAGCAGUGGGGAAUAUUGGACAAUGGGGGAAACCCUGAUCCAGCCAUGCCGCGUGUGUGAAGAAGGCCUUAUGGUUGUAAAGCACUUUAAGCGAGGAGGAGGCUACUGAGACUAAUACUCUUGGAUAGUGGACGUUACUCGCAGAAUAAGCACCGGCUAACUCUGUGCCAGCAGCCGCAGUAA